UACGUAGGGGGCAAGCGUUGUCCGGAUUUAUUGGGCGUAAAGAGCGUGUAGGCGGCCUGACAAGUCUGCUGUGAAAACUCGAGGCUCAACCUCGAGAUGUCGGCGGAAACUGUCUGGCUAGAGUCCGGAAGAGGAGAGUGGAAUUCCUGGUGUAGCGGUGAAAUGCGCAGAUAUCAGGAAGAACACCCGUGGCGAAGGCGGUUCUCUGGGACGGUACUGACGCUGAGACGCGAAAGCGUGGGGAGCGAACAGG
rnacentral:rRNA from 1 species